AGAAGAAGAAGAGAGGAGGAGAGUUCUUAAGGGUUUUCCAAAUCUACGAAGAUCUAAGUCCCCCAAUCUCAAAGUUAACUUCGAAAACGUGAUCUACACGUGUGGAUCUACGUUUUGACCAAUUGUUUUGAGGUAUUUGGCUACUAGGAGCUUGCUUGAGGCUACCUAAACCUCGGAUUUUGGUUUGGUAAACUUUGGUGGCGCUUUGUGAGUUGCACUUUGAGCCAUUCGAAUUGGUAUGCGAACGGCCUAAGAUGGAGCUUCUUUGGAUGCAGGUACUGAUGAUACGAAGGAUGACUCCGUUGCACACUAUGUGGAGUACUACGACUAAGCACGUCGCUUGAGUCGUAAGGGUGUUGGACCCGGAUGGUCCAUUUUUGUAUAUUUUGUAUAUGGCUAGUGUGACUUGUAACACGUAGAUAUAGUCAUUCUUUUGUAUGCAUAAUUUAUGCUUAAGCCUUAAACAGAUAGACACUAAUUGGCUCUUUUGUGUAAUGGACAGUUUAUAAUUAUGAUGUUGAC